AAGUAGCUGAGUUGUUAAGUUGCUACGCUGCCGAAUCACAACUCCCGGGUUCAAUUCCCAGUGUGCCC
rnacentral:tRNA from 16 species